rnacentral:rRNA from 1 species
CAUAGCGGAGGGGAACCACCUGUUCCCAUCCCGAACACAGUAGUUAAGCCCUCCAGCGCCGAUGGUACU